UUGCCCUACGGGGCGCAGCAGUGGGGAAUAUUGCACAAUGGGGGAAACCCUGAUGCAGCGACGCCGCGUGAGUGAGGAAGUAUUUCGGUAUGUAAAGCUCUAUCAGCAGGGAAGAAAAUGACGGUACCUGACUAAGAAGCCCCGGCUAACUACGUGCCAGCAGCCGCGGUAAUACGUAGGGGGCAAGCGUUAUCCGGAUUUACUGGGUGUAAAGGGAGCGUAGACGGAAUUGCAAGUCUGAUGUGAAAAUCCGGGGCCCAACCCCGGAACUGCAUUGGAAACUGUAUUUCUAGAGUGUCGGAGAG
rnacentral:rRNA from 1 species